AAGUCAUUUUUUUUAUAUCUUUGAUCAAAUUUAUGGAAAAAUGUAUCAACAUCUACAAUAUCAAUUUUAUUUUCAUAAAAUUCUCCAUGAAAUAUUUCUUAAUAGUGCAUUUAUUCGAACUUGUAGAUGUUAAUAUAUUUUUCUAAAACUUUGGUCAAAGUUAGAGAAGUCUGACUU
rnacentral:pre_miRNA from 1 species